rnacentral:rRNA from 1 species
UACGGAGGGGGCAAGCGUUGUUCGGAAUUACUGGGCGUAAAGGGCGCGCAGGCGGCUGCUCAAGUCAGGCGUGAAAGGCCUGGGCUCAACCUGGGAACCGCGCUUGAGACUGGCACGCUCGAGUUCGGGAGAGGAUGGUGGAAUUCCCAGUGUAGAGGUGAAAUUCGUAGAUAUUGGGAAGAACACCGAUGGCGAAGGCAGCCAUCUGGACCGACACUGACGCUGAGGCGCGAAAGCGUGGGGAGCAAACAGG